rnacentral:rRNA from 1 species
UACGAAGGGGGCUAGCGUUGUUCGGAAUUACUGGGCGUAAAGAGCGCGUAGGCGGUUUAUUAAGUUGGAAGUGAAAUCCCAGGGCUUAACCCUGGAAUUGCUUUCAAAACUAAUAAACUAGAGAGCGAUAGAGGAUGGUGGAAUUCCUAGUGUAGAGGUGAAAUUCUUAGAUAUUAGGAGGAACACCGGUGGCGAAGGCGGCCAUCUGGGUCGUUUCUGACGCUAAGGCGCGAAAGCGUGGGGAGCAAACAGG